AACGCUAGCUACAGGCUUAACACAUGCAAGUCGAGGGGCAUCAUGGCGGUUGCUUGCAACCGCCGAUGGCGACCGGCGCACGGGUGAGUAACGCGUAUCCAACCUGGCCGUUGCCACGGCACAGCCCGCCGAAAGGCGGAUUAAUGCGGUAUGAGGCGCUUCGAUGGCAUCAGAAGAGCGCCAAAGCUUCGGCGGCAGCGGAUGGGGAUGCGUCCGAUUAGGCAGCAGGCGGGGCAACGGCCCACCUGGCCGACGAUCGGUAGGGGUCCUGAGAGGGAGGCCCCCCACACUGGGACUGAGACACGGCCCAGACUCCUACGGGAGGCAGCAGUGAGGAAUAUUGGUCAAUGGGCGGAAGCCUGAACCAGCCAAGUAGCGUGCGGGACGACGGCCCUAUGGGUUGUAAACCGCUUUUUCACGGGGAUAAAGUGCGCCACGCGUGGCGCUUUGCAGGUACCGUGCGAAUAAGGACCGGCUAAUUCCGUGCCAGCAGCCGCGGUAAUACGGAAGGUCCGGGCGUUAUCCGGAAUCAUUGGGUUUAAAGGGAGCGUAGGCCGCAUGUCAAGCGUGCUGUGAAAUCCCGGGGCUCAACCCCGGAAGCGCAGCGCGAACUGGCGUGCUUGAGUUGCAUCGAGGCAGGCGGAAUUCGUGGUGUAGCGGUGAAAUGCUUAGAUAUCACGAAGAACUCCGAUUG
rnacentral:rRNA from 1 species